rnacentral:rRNA from 1 species
UAGGGAAUCUUCGGCAAUGGACGGAAGUCUGACCGAGCAACGCCGCGUGAGUGAAGAAGGUUUUCGGAUCGUAAAGCUCUGUUGUAAGAGAAGAACGAGUGUGAGAGUGGAAAGUUCACACUGUGACGGUAUCUUACCAGAAAGGGACGGCUAACUACGUGCCAGCAGCCGCGGUAAUACGUAGGUCCCGAGCGUUGUCCGGAUUUAUUGGGCGUAAAGCGAGCGCAGGCGGUUAGAUAAGUCUGAAGUUAAAGGCUGUGGCUUAACCAUAGUACGCUUUGGAAACUGUUUAACUUGAGUGCAAGAGGGGAGAGUGGAAUUCCAUGUGUAGCGGUGAAAUGCGUAGAUAUAUGGAGGAACACCGGUGGCGAAAGCGGCUCUCUGGCUUGUAACUGACGCUGAGGCUCGAAAGCGUGGGGAGCAAACAGGAUUAGAUACCCUGGUAGUCCACGCCGUAAACGAUGAGUGCUAGGUGUUAGACCCUUUCCGGGGUUUAGUGNCGCAGCUAACGCAUUAAGCACUCCGCCUGGGGAGUACNACCGCAAGGUUG